UUUAUUGAUUGGUGACAUGGCCAGUCUAUUUUAAUGAAGCCUAUUUCCCUGCAGUGUCUCUCCUAAGUAAGGCACAGCUUUGGACAUUCAUAGUUACUUGGGACAACAGUUUUAGCAGGGCUCUCUUUCUCCUUUCCUGAUCUCUCUGUUAAGCUGCCUGGCUCAUUUGAUAUUACAUCCAAAUUAUCAGCUGAUUGCUCUAUUGUUUUGGACAAUGCCCUGGGGCAUACCAAAAUGUGUCUGGAAUUGGUGAGUUCUUGGUCUUACUGACUUUAAGAAUGAAGUUGCGGACUUCUGCGGUGAGUGUUACAGCUUUUAAGGUGGCGCGUCUGGAGUUUGUUCUUUCUGAUGUUUGGAUGUGUUUGGAGUUUCUUCUUUCUGAUGGGUUUGUGGUCUUGCUGGCUUAGGAGUGAAGCUGCAGACUUUCGUGAUGCCAAUAUUUUACCUCUUGGGUACUUUCUGUGUAGAAGAUUCAUAACAAGAACAAUACUUAUUCUGUAAUUCUUUAUAUAAAGUAAGAAGAAAGCCCAAAGACAAAACCAGAGGCAACUGGCUGCUGCAUCACCCACCUAGUGGCAGUAGUGUGAGCUAUGGACAAAAGAUCUAAGUCUCCAGGACAAAGAGUUGUGCAGCUGCUCAUUUUCCUGUUGACUUCUGUCUAAGACUUGGAGAUGUUUGUAAGAUUGGGACCUACCUACAGAGCUCCAGAGGGAAGUGAGAAGGAUGUUCACUUGCUGGUGAGAGAAGGAGCUGGUUCCAUCCAUUAUGCAGUCCCCUGGGAGCGCUAAAUGCAACUUUAUCUCAAUGGGGAGUGGACGAUGAGCAGGACGUCGCUAGAGGGAAAGAUAGUCUGGCCCAGUACAAGACACUGGAGAUAAAAUGAGGUAUACAAUAUGAGUACCCGCCCUGCAGGAGGUGACAGUGUAUGUGCGUGGGGCAGCCACGGAUAAAAGGCAUCUAUGACACAGGCCUCACUUCCCGUUUCCUUUGGCAGCGCCCUUUUCCCGACCUAAGGGAGCAGACCUUCGCUGGUUGGCGUGAGGACUGGCGGGAGAGGUUUUGUGCCAGGAUCCGCACUGUCUGGGGUGAACGCUCCUCACCUUUGACCUGAUCCGCCAACUUCCCAUCCUCCACUUUUGGAGAGCGCGCCUGAUAGCUGCUGCCCACCUGGGCACUGACUUCCUCCUUCCGACGGGGUGCGGAGAAAGCACAAAGGAAGUAGACCAAGGAGACUGAAGGUGGUUAUGAAGACUGUGCAUCUCUGAGGACAUCUUAAACAAAGAUGACCCAAAC